GAUGAACGCUGGCGGCGUGCCUAAUACAUGCAAGACGAGCGAACGGACGAGAAGCUUGCUUUUCUGAUGUUAGCGGCGGACGGGUGAGUAACACGUGGAUAACCUACCUAUAAGACUGGGAUAACUUCGGGAAACCGGAGCUAAUACCGGAUAAUAUUUUGAACCGCAUGGUUCAAAAGUGAAAGACGGUCUUGCUGUCACUUAUAGAUGGAUCCGCGCUGCAUUAGCUAGUUGGUAAGGUAACGGCUUACCAAGGCAACGAUGCAUAGCCGACCUGAGAGGGUGAUCGGCCACACUGGAACUGAGACACGGUCCAGACUCCUACGGGAGGCAGCAGUAGGGAAUCUUCCGCAAUGGGCGAAAGCCUGACGGAGCAACGCCGCGUAAGUGAUGAAGGUCUUCGGAUCGUAAAACUCUGUUAUUAGGGAAGAACAUAUGUGUAAGUAACUGUGCACAUCUUGACGGUACCUAAUCAGAAAGCCACGGCUAACUACGUG
rnacentral:rRNA from 1 species